rnacentral:rRNA from 1 species
UACGGGGGGGGCAAGCGUUGUUCGGAAUUACUGGGCGUAAAGGGCUCGUAGGUGGCCAACUAAGUCAGACGUGAAAUCCCUGGGCUCAACCCAGGAACUGCGUCCGAUACUGGUUGGCUUGAAUCCGGGAGAGGGAUGUGGAAUUCCAGGUGUAGCGGUGAAAUGCGUAGAUAUCUGGAGGAACACCGGUGGCGAAGGCGACAUCCUGGACCGGUAUUGACGCUGAGGCGCGAAAGCCAGGGGAGCAAACGGG